rnacentral:rRNA from 1 species
AUUGAACGCUGGCGGUAGGCCUAACACAUGCAAGUCGAACGGCAGCACAGUAAUAGCUUGCUCUUACGGGUGGCGAGUGGCGGACGGGUGAUGAAUACAUCGGAAUCUACUUUUUCGUGGGGGAUAACGUAGGGAAACUUACGCUAAUACCGCAUACGACCUACGGGUGAAAGCAUGGGAUCUUCGGACCUUGCGCGAUUGAAUGAGCCGAUGUCGGAUUAGCUAGUUGGCGGGGUAAAGGCCCACCAAGGCGACGAUCCGUAGCUGGUCUGAGAGGAUGAUCAGCCACACUGGAACUGAGACACGGUCCAGACUCCUACGGGAGGCAGCAGUGGGGAAUAUUGGACAAUGGGCGAAAGCCUGAUCCAGCCAUACCGCGUGGGUGAAGAAGGCCUUCGGGUUGUAAAGCACUUUUGUUGGGAAAGAAAAGCAGCAGGUUAAUACCCCGCUGUUCUGACGGUACCCAAAGAAUAAGCACCGGCUAACUUCGUG